rnacentral:piRNA from 1 species
UAAAACAGGUGUUUGCUGCUGGCUCAG